rnacentral:rRNA from 1 species
GAUGAACGCUGACAGAAUGCUUAACACAUGCAAGUCAACUUGAAUUUGGGUUUUUAACUUAGGUUUGGGUGGCGGACGGGUGAGUAACGCGUAAAGAACUUGCCUCACAGCUAGGGACAACAUUUGGAAACGAAUGCUAAUACCUAAUAUUAUGAUAAUAGGGCAUCCUAUAAUUAUGAAAGCUAUAAGCGCUGUGAGAGAGCGUUGCGUCCCAUUAGCUAGUUGGAGAGGUAACGGCUCACCAAGGCGAUGAUGGGUAGCCGGCCUGAGAGGGUGAUCGGCCACAAGGGGACUGAGACACGGCCCUUACUCCUACGGGAGGCAGCAGUGGGGAAUAGUGGACAAUGGACCGAGAGUCUGAUCCAGCAAUUCUGUGUGCACGAUGAAGUUUUUCGGAAUGUAAAGUGCUUUCAGUUGGGAAGAAACAAAUGACGGUACCAACAGAAGAAGUGACGGCUAAAUACGUG